rnacentral:rRNA from 1 species
UCGGGCCGAGGGGGAAAGAAUUUCGGUGAAGGAUGGGCAUGCGUCGCAUUAGUUAGUUGGCGGUGUAACGGACCACCAAGACGACGAUGCGUAGGGGUUCUGAGAGGAAGGUCCCCCACACUGGUACUGAGACACGGACCAGACUCCUACGGGAGGCAGCAGUGAGGAAUAUUGGUCAAUGGCCGAGAGGCUGAACCAGCCAAGUCGCGUGAGGGAAGAAUGUCCUAUGGAUCGUAAACCUCUUUUGUCAGGGAGCAAAGUCACCCACGUGUGGGUGUUGGAGAGUACCUGAAGAAAAAGCAUCGGCUAACUCCGUGCCAGCAGCCGCGGUAAUACGGAGGAUGCGAGCGUUAUCCGGAUUUAUUGGGUUUAAAGGGUGCGUAGGCGGGUUAUCAAGUCAGCGGUAAAAUCGUGGAGCUCAACUCCAUCCAGCCGUUGAAACUGAUGAUCUUGAGUGGGCGAGAAGUAUGCGGAAUGCGUGGUGUAGCGGUGAAAUGCAUAGAUAUCACGGAAAACUCCGAUUGCGAAGGCAGCAUACCGGCGCCCGACUGACGCUGAAGCCCGAAAGCGUGG